UUAUUCAGUCUUGUUGAAACAAAAUCGAGUGGCAAAACAGUGGCAAAACAGGAGACAGCAGACAUCCAUGAGAGCCAUGGGUUGACUUCUGGUGCUCUUUGGGUUUUUCAGCCUUGGCGUCUGUCUCCCUCGUCAGUAUCACUUCAUUAAUGAGAAUAAGACCUGGGCGGAAGCACAGAGAUACUGCAGAGAGAAUUAUGUUGAUUUAGCCAGUAUUAAUACCACUCAAGAGCAACUGGC